rnacentral:rRNA from 2 species
CACGAACCGUACGAACGUUAUUCGGAAUUACUGGGCUUAAAGGGUUUGUAGGCGGCCAUGUAAGUCAGGUGUGAAAUCCCUCGGCUCAACCGAGGAACGGCGCUUGAUACUGCAUGGCUUGAGGGAGACAGGGGUAAGCGGAACUGAUGGUGGAGCGGUGAAAUGCGUUGAUAUCAUCAGGAACACCGGUGGCGAAAGCGGCUUACUGGGUCUCUUCUGACGCUGAGGAACGAAAGCUAGGGUAGCGAACGGG